GUGCUCGCUUCGGCAGCACAUAUACUAGAAUUGGAGCGAUACAGAGAAGAUUGGCAUGGCCCCUGCGCAAGGAUGACACGCAGAUUCGUGAAGCGUUACAUAUUUUU
rnacentral:snRNA from 1 species